rnacentral:tRNA from 1 species
GGGCCGCUAGCUCAAUUGGCAGAGCCACUGACUCUUAAUCAGUUGGUUCCAGGUUCGAGUCCUGGGCGGCUCACCA